CAGCAGCCGCGGGAAUACGUAGGUGGCAAGCGUUGUCCGGAAUUAUUGGGCGUAAAGAGCUCGCAGGCGGUUUCUUAAGUCUGAUGUGAAAGCCCCCGGCUCAACCGGGGAGGGUCAUUGGAAACUGGGAAACUUGAGUGCAGAAGAGGAGAGUGGAAUUCCACGUGUAGCGGUGAAAUGCGUAGAGAUGUGGAGGAACACCAGUGGCGAAGGCGACUCUCUGGUCUGUAACCGACGCUGAGGAGCGAAAGCGUGGGGAGCGAACAGGAUUAGAUACCCCCGUAGUCCCUGUCUCUUAUAC
rnacentral:rRNA from 1 species